AUCAAUUUUUCCCUCCUCUUUCAUGUCUUUUUCAGAAACAGCGAGAAAGGGAAGUUCAAUAUUUCGUCCCGACUAUCUAUGCGAAUUUGUGGAAUACAGAUAUGUCUUUUAGAGAAAUGGUUGCAAUGUGCUUGGUCAAAGACUUAAAAAAGAGGAAUCGUGCGAAAAAACUCUCUGCUGACUUACCUCCGUUGUGGAAUCGUGUCAAGGCAAAUUUGAGUCUUAAGGAUGCUGCAGAACUAGCUUUGAAGAAAAUGCCUUCAGCUGAAUAGGAAGCAUUGUCACAGUUCUAUGUUUAGCUUCUUUGUUACAUGUGUUGUGCUGCUUUGGUUUCUUGCUCUUCACAUUAUCCUCAGCCUCCUCUUGCCUACUGCUACUGUUCCUUCAAAAAACAGGUAUUCGUUCUUUACCUCCUUUUUUUCUUUCUUAUUUUUUCUCCGGUGACAUGUUAUAGCUGUGAUAGUUGAUGUGAAACAUUUUUUCUGAUUCUCUUUUAUCCUGCAUGCUACUUCAUGUUUAUCCUACAGGGUGGUUUACAUGUCUUGCAUUUCAAUUUUUUCCUGCUUCCUAAGAUUUGGUGGAACUACAUAUAUGGGCAAACAUAGAGAAUGGAAAGAAAUGAACUUUAUCUGUGAUGCCUUCUUCAGAUGAAGAUGCGUCAGAAAAAUUCUGAAUUGAGAAGACAUGACUAUAGAGUUCCAGAAAGAAAACAAUAUCGCGCUAACCACAGUUUAAAUGAUAAAAUUAGUGAAACUGAUUCCUGUAUACAACAAGGGAAUAUGCUUAUUAUACACUAAGGGAAAAGUUGUUUUAAAUCUUGAUUCAGUUCACAAUAAGGGAAAGCUGCAGACA